CACGCAGGCGGGUGCGCGCGUGGGGUGUGAAACCGGGUGGCUUAACUGCCCGCCGCCAUCCCAUACGGCGCGCCUGGAGCCAUCCAGAGGUCGGUGGAAUUGCCGGUGUAGUGGUGAAAUGCGUAGAGAUCGGCAGGAACACCCAGGGGGAAACCAGCCGACUGGGGAUGUGCUGACGCUGAGGUGCGAGAGCGUGGGAGCGAACC
rnacentral:rRNA from 1 species